UGGGUAGGGGAGCGUUCUGUAAGCCUGUGAAGGUGGCCUGUGAGGGUUGCUGGAGGUAUCAGAAGUGCGAAUGCUGACAUAAGUAACGAUAAAGCGGGUGAAAAGCCCGCUCGCCGGAAGACCAAGGGUUCCUGUCCAACGUUAAUCGGGGCAGGGUGAGUCGACCCCUAAGGCGAGGCCGAAAGGCGUAGUCGAUGGGAAACAGGUUAAUAUUCCUGUACUUGGUGUUACUGCGAAGGGGGGACGGAGAAGGCUAUGUUGGCCGGGCGACGGUUGUCCCGGUUUAAGCGUGUAGGCUGGUUUUCCAGGCAAAUCCGGAAAAUCAAGGCUGAGGCGUGACGACGAGGCACUACGGUGCUGAAGCAACAAAUGCCCUGCUUCCAGGAAAAGCCUCUAAGCAUCAGGUAACAUCAAAUCGUACCCCAAACCGACACAGGUGGUCAGGUAGAGAAUACCAAGGCGCUUGAGAGAACUCGGGUGAAGGAACUAGGCAAAAUGGUGCCGUAACUUCGGGAGAAGGCACGCUGACACGUAGGUGAAGUGAUUUACUCAUGGAGCUGAAGUCAGUCGAAGAUACCAGCUGGCUGCAACUGUUUAUUAAAAACACAGCACUGUGCAAACACGAAAGUGGACGUAUACGGUGUGACGCCUGCCCGGUGCCGGAAGGUUAAUUGAUGGGGUCAGCGCAAGCGAAGCUCCUGAUCGAAGCCCCGGUAAACGGCGGCCGUAACUAUAACGGUCCUAAGGUAGCGAAAUUCCUUGUCGGGUAAGUUCCGACCUGCACGAAUGGCGUAAUGAUGGCCAGGCUGUCUCCACCCGAGACUCAGUGAAAUUGAACUCGCUGUGAAGAUGCAGUGUACCCGCGGCAAGACGGAAAGACCCCGUGAACCUUUACUAUAGCUUGACACUGAACAUUGAGCCUUGAUGUGUAGGAUAGGUGGGAGGCUUUGAAGUGUGGACGCCAGUCUGCAUGGAGCCGACCUUGAAAUACCACCCUUUAAUGUUUGAUGUUCUAACGUGGACCCGUAAUCCGGGUUGCGGACAGUGUCUGGUGGGUAGUUUGACUGGGGCGGUCUCCUCCUAAAGAGUAACGGAGGAGCACGAAGGUUGGCUAAUCCUGGUCGGACAUCAGGAGGUUAGUGCAAUGGCAUAAGCCAGCUUGACUGCGAGCGUGACGGCGCGAGCAGGUGCGAAAGCAGGUCAUAGUGAUCCGGUGGUUCUGAAUGGAAGGGCCAUCGCUCAACGGAUAAAAGGUACUCCGGGGAUAACAGGCUGAUACCGCCCAAGAGUUCAUAUCGACGGCGGUGUUUGGCACCUCGAUGUCGGCUCAUCACAUCCUGGGGCUGAAGUAGGUCCCAAGGGUAUGGCUGUUCGCCAUUUAAAGUGGUACGCGAGCUGGGUUUAGAACGUCGUGAGACAGUUCGGUCCCUAUCUGCCGUGGGCGCUGGAGAACUGAGGGGGGCUGCUCCUAGUACGAGAGGACCGGAGUGGACGCAUCACUGGUGUUCGGGUUGUCAUGCCAAUGGCACUGCCCGGUAGCUAAAUGCGGAAGAGAUAAGUGCUGAAAGCAUCUAAGCACGAAACUUGCCCCGAGAUGAGUUCUCCCUGAGACUUUGA
rnacentral:rRNA from 1 species